CUGCUCUGUUCCCCUGUAUCCAAUCUUAAUGCCCAGAUGCAGGUACUGUCUCAGUGCAAUGCACCUGGGCAAGGAUUCACAGAAGAUAAG
ensembl:miRNA